AACGAACGCUGGCGGCAUGCCUAACACAUGCAAGUCGAACGAGACCUUCGGGUCUAGUGGCGCACGGGUGUGUAACGCGUGGGAACCUGCCCUUAGGUUCGGAAUAACUCCCCGAAAGGGGUGCUAAUACCGGAUAAUGUCUUCGGACCAAAGAUUUAUCGCCUUUGGAUGGGCCCGCGUUGGAUUAGCUAGUUGGUAGGGUAAAAGCCUACCAAGGCGACGAUCCAUAGCUGGUCUGAGAGGAUGAUCAGCCACACUGGGACUGAGACACGGCCCAGACUCCUACGGGAAGCAGCAGUGGGGAAUAUUGGACAAUGGGCGAAAGCCUGAUCCAGCAACGCCGCGUGAGUGAUGAAGGCCUUAGGGUUGUAAAGCUCUUUUACCCGGGAUGAUAAUGACAGUACCGGGAGAAUAAGCGCCGGCUAACUCCGUG
rnacentral:rRNA from 1 species